CCGCCCCUGGCAGCCCGGCUGGGACCGGGGAAAUGGAAGGCACAAGAGAUGUGGUGGCCCGAAGCACCCACGUGGUGGGGUUUUGUACCGUGGAAAGCCAGGGAUCACAACAGCUGGCUAAGAAUUCCCACUGCAGCAUGUACACAAAGAGCAAGAGGCAACGCCUUGAAAAAUUUACAGUAGGAAAGACAGACCCUAAGGAAUGGGACUUACCAUGUA